rnacentral:tRNA from 1 species
UGUUCUGUGACUUAGAUGGUUGAAGCGCCGGACUUGCAAUACGGAGUCGUAGGUUCGAAUCCCACCCUACCAA